AGCCUUAACCCCUUGAUACAGAACUAGAUUAAAAACAACAACAAAACUCUAUACAUGUGAACCCUGAUAUAGUGAGGGACGACUGUAUUUACAGUUUGGGCUGGUUCGCCCUUUCUUAGGCAACUUGUUGAUCCCGUGCUCCCAGGGUUCUUACCAGACUUAGUGUGGACAUGUGAUUGGCUUGAUCCACUGCAGCAGCUCAGAGCUUCCCAGCUCAAAUGAUCCACCAGCCAUAAGAACCCUAUUAUCUGAUCCUACAGAGACCUUGUUUAGAGUACACAAAACUUCCCUGGAGGGCUUUCCAGUUAAAGAAAGAAGCAAAUCAACAGCAUUCUGGUACAAGACGUUAGAAGAUGCAAAACACAAAAUUGAUUUUCAUUGUGAGAGAUGUAUGUCAUUCAUUUGCUUCCCAGUCUUCAGCUUAAGCUUAGCAAUGAGACUCUGCCAAAAGCUAGGAGCUGGCUUCCAAGAACAUCAGGGAAACAACAGCCUUUGCUCGGCCUUCUAUUUUUGCCC
rnacentral:lncRNA from 1 species